rnacentral:tRNA from 1 species
UCCGCCAUAGCUCAGUUGGUAGUAGCGCAUGACUGUUAAUCAUGAUGUCGUAGGUUCGAAUCCUACUGGCGGAG